rnacentral:rRNA from 1 species
AUCUGGGUGGCGGAAUUCAGGAUGAUGAGCGUGCCUUCGCGGUACGCUGGUCGUUUGAUAUUUCCGUCGCCGAUUACCCGCAGACGUCGCGACCUGUUCGCGGUCGGUCCCUGCUCGGAGGAGCCGCGUUCGAGUUCGUUGCGUGUCGCGUUUCGGCGUGUCACGCGGUGAAGACGCGGGUCUCUGGCUGGCCGUCGGACAGUACGUUUAACGGUGUCCGGUGUCGUCGUAUCGUACGCGCGUGCACCGGUACCGGUCAGCGACGAAUUCUUCGGGCCUCUUUCCGACCCGUCUUGAAACACGGACCAAGGAGUCUAACAUGCGCGCGAGUCGCGGGGUGUCGAGCGUACUUCGGUGCGUUCGUUACGUUGCGAAACCCGUACAUGUCGAAGGCGUAAUGAAAGUGAAUGGGGAAGAUGGUGUUCCGAGUACACGUUCCGCGAUCGUCGGUAUCGCGGCCGGGCACCCGCAUUCCCGGGGCGUCUCAACGGCCCGUCGCUGAUGCGGACAGUCCUCUGUCGGUCGGCGACGAACCGA